rnacentral:pre_miRNA from 1 species
GAUUUCAACUAAAAAGUCAUCAACAACAAAGUUGUAUAACUCAUCGAGAUAUAUAACUUUUAUUUGGUCAUUUCUUCAUCCGACAGAGUGAUAGUUACAUUGUUCAUAAAAUUUACACAUCUCUUAUUAACUUUAUAUAAUAAAAGAGAGAUAUGUAAUUUUUGUGAAAAUGUUACUAUCACUUUGUUGGAUGAAGAAAUGAACAAAAUAAAAGUUAUAAAUCAUGAUAAGUUAUACAACUUUGUUGUUGAUGACUUUUUCAGCUGAAAUU